CCUACGGGAGGCUGCAGUGAGGAAUAUUGGUCAAUGGCCGCAGGGCUGAACCAGCCAAGUCGCGUGAGGGAUGACGGUCCUAUGGAUUGUAAACCUCUUUUGUCAGGGGGCAAAAGGCGCCACGUGUGGCGCUUUGCGAGUACCUGAAGAAAAAGCAUCGGCUAACUCCGUGCCAGCAGCCGCGGUAAUACGGAGGAUGCGAGCGUUAUCCGGAUUUAUUGGGUUUAAAGGGUGCGCAGGUGGAAUGUUAAGUCAGCGGUAAAAUUUCGGGGCUCAACCCCGUCGUGCCGUUGAAACUGGCGUUCUUGAGUGAGCGAGAAGUAUGCGGAAUGCGUGGUGUAGCGGUGAAAUGCAUAGAUAUCACGCAGAACUCCGAUUGCGAAGGCAGCAUACCGGCGCGCAACUGACGCUCAUGCACGAAAGCGUGGGUAUCGAACAGGAUUAGAUACCCUAGUAGUC
rnacentral:rRNA from 1 species